rnacentral:rRNA from 1 species
GACGAACCGAGCGAACGUUGUUCGGAAUCACUGGGCUUAAAGGGCGCGUAGGCGGUCUGUCGCGUCUGCUGUGAAAACUCGGGGCUUAACCCCGGGCCUGCAGUGGGUACGGGCAGACUAGAGUGCGGUAGGGGAGACUGGAAUUCCUGGUGUAGCGGUGAAAUGCGCAGAUAUCAGGAGGAACACCGGUGGCGAAGGCGGGUCUCUGGGCCGUAACUGACGCUGAGGAGCGAAAGCGUGGGGAGCGAACAGG